rnacentral:rRNA from 1 species
UACGGGAGGGGCAAGCGUUGUUCGGAAUUACUGGGCGUAAAGGGCUCGUAGGUGGCCAACUAAGUCAGACGUGAAAUCCCUCGGCUUAACCGGGGAACUGCGUCUGAUACUGGAUGGCUUGAGUUCGGGAGAGGGAUGCGGAAUUCCAGGUGUAGCGGUGAAAUGCGUAGAUAUCUGGAGGAACACCGGUGGCGAAGGCGGCAUCCUGGACCGACACUGACGCUGAGGAGCGAAAGCCAGGGGAGCAAACGGG